AUGGACGCCGGGCCAUCAUCCUCGCCGCUGCGCAUCGUGAUCGUCCCGUGGCUCGCGCUGGGCCACCUGCUCCCGUGCCUGGAGCUCGCCGAGCGGCUCGCGUCCCGGGGCCACCGCGUGUCCUACGUCUCCACGCCGCGCAACCUCGCGCGCCUCCCGCCGCCGGCGCCACGCGUGGACCUCGUGGCGCUCCCGCUGCCGCGCGUGGACGGCCUCCCCGACGGCGCCGAGUCCACCAACGACGUCCCGGAAGGCCAGCGGGAGCUCCACUGGAGGGCCUUCGACGGCCUCGCCGUGCCCUUCGCGGAGUUCCUGGCCGCCGCGUGCGCCGGCCAGGCCACGAGGCCGCACUGGAUCAUCGCCGACACUUUCCACCACUGGGCCGCCGCCGCCGCCCUGGAGCACCUGGUGCCGUGCGCGAUGCUGCCCCCGACCGCUGCCUUGAUCGCCACCGUGCUCAGUCACAGCCAGCCGUCGGACAGAGCACGCGCUCCUCCCCGUUACGAACAAGAGGGGAGGCAACCGAUUUACUGCAACCAUGGCGUGUCUGGUAUGUCCAUCAUGCAGCGCUUAUUGUUGACAAAGGAGAGGUGCACGGUCGUGGCCAUCCGGAGCUGCGUCGAGUGGGAGCCCGAGUCUUUCCCGCUGGCGAAGACAAUUCUCGGCAAGCCGGUCGUUCCCCUCGGCCUUCUGCCGCCGUCAGCCGAUGCAGCCCGCUGUGCCGCCGCCAACGGGGCAGAGCAUGCCACCGUGCGGUGGCUGGACGCGCAACCUCCCGGCUCGGUGCUGUACGUGGCGCUGGGGAGCGAGGUGCCGCUGCGCGUGGAGCAGGUGCAUGAGCUGGCCCUCGGGCUGGAGCUCGCCGGGACGCGCUUCCUCUGGGCUCUCAGAAAAGCCAGCAGCGCCGGCGCCGCCGUCGACACCGACAUCCUCCCGCCGGGUUUCCAAGAGCGCACGCGUGGCCAGGGGCUGGUGACCACGGCGUGGGUUCCCCAGAUGAGCAUCCUGGCGCACGCGGCCGUGGGCGGGUUCCUGACGCACUGCGGGCGGAGCUCGCUGAUCGAGGGCCUCCUGUUCGGUCACCCGCUCGUCAUGCUGCCCAUCUUCGGGGACCAGGGGCCGAACGCGCGGCAAAUGGAGGCCAAGAAGGUGGGGCUGCAGGUGGCGAGGGACGAGGACGAUGGGUCGUUCGACCGCCAUGGCGUCGCGGUGGCGGUCCGGGCCAUCAUGGCUGAGGGAGAGGCGAGGAGGGGCUUCUUAGCAGGCGCUGGGAGGAUGCAGGAGGUGGUAGCCGAUACAGAGCGGCAUGAGAGAUACAUCGACGAGUUUGUACAGCAGCUUAGAUCUUACUCCGCCGCAGGUGCAACGAACUAA
rnacentral:rRNA from 1 species